GUGUUCGUAGAAAGGAGAGAUGGUUGGCAUCUCCCCUAACACGAACGGGAACAACCUUCAGGCUUAUCUAUUACCAACACAUCCGGUUAAGGCUACCCAUUUCGCAGUGGAUCUCUAACCCAAUUUUAU
rnacentral:ncRNA from 1 species